ensembl:snRNA U6 U6 spliceosomal RNA
GUGCUCGCUUCGGCAGCACGUAUACUAAAAUCGGAAUGAUCUAGAGAAGAUUUAGCGUGGCCCCGGCAUGAGGAUGACACACAGAUUCCUGACAUUUGCUCUGAGGCA